rnacentral:lncRNA from 1 species
GGCCUUCUAUAUCCUUUGUAGAUCUGCAUUCAUUAGCCCAAUGUUUCCCCUUCCUACAUUUAUGGCAUAAGCCUGGCUGUCUAGGUUUAUCUAAUACGGCCUGUUUUUCAUUUUCAGGGCAGUUUCUUCUAAAAUGUCCUCUUUGGCCACACUUAUAACAAGUAUCAUUAUUAGAUCUAUCCAAUUGUAUUACAGCUGCCGCCAGGCCUGCAUUGGUUAAUGGGCCCCCUAGUUCUCUGCAAACCUUCAUCCAUACUUCUAAACCUUUAUGGUUAUAGGGUGUAAUGGCUGCUUUGCAUUCCUUAGUGCAUUGCUCAUAUACUAGCUGUUUGACUAAAGGCAUAGCUGUAUCAGGGUCUCCAAAGAUUCUAGUAGCUGCCUCAACAAGGCGUGCUACAAAGUCUGAGAAUGGUUCUGUGGGGCCCUGCAAAAUUUUCAUAAGAUUGCCUGAGACUGCGCCUUUGUUCGGCAACGCUUUCCAGGCUUUGGUGGCUACUUCAAUUAUUUGGGCAUAGACUGUUUCAGGAUAAUUUGUUUGAUCUAAAGCAAAACGUCCUAAACCCAGAAGCAUGUCUGCAUCCCAAUGUCUCUGAGGAUCUUGUCCUAUGGCUAAAUUGGCUGCUGCCUGACUAUUUGCAUAUUCAUAAGUCAAGGACUUCCGAUCUAAAUAUUGCCUGGACGACAAGCAAGCCCGAGCCACAUUAUUCCAGUACCCAGGGGUGAGGCAAUAUCUGGCAAGCACCUCAAUUUGUGCAACCACAAAAGCUGCACCCACCCCAUAAGUACAGACUGAUUCUGCCAGUUGCUUAAUAGUUUUGAAAUCCACUGGCUCAUGAUACCAUUGCCCUUGGCCAUCAGCAAAACCAGGGAAACUUAGACCAACUUCUUUCCAAACCUCCAGACAGAGAGAGGUACCUGGUUUAGCAGCCCUGGCGGGCUCCCAGCACUUUCAGUUUUAUUCUUUAUUUCGCCGAUACUCCCUUUUUCAAUGGGUUGGCUCUAUAUGGCCAAUCCGGAUCAUACCUAUCCCUCUCAUACAGAGCUGCCUCUUCUUCUAGGUCAGCUUCAUCAUCCUCACUAAGCUCCGAGCCACUGGAAUCAGAACUUGAUAGACUUAGCGAUAAGUCUUUUAAAGAGGGAUAUAUUUUUGCUAUUUCCUUUUCUUUAUCACUGUUUCCUUUUCCUUUUGUAUUUAUCUUUUCUCCCUUCUCUUUUCCUUUUCGCCCCUUUUCCUUCCUUUGCUCAUACAUUCCUUAUCUUCCUCUGACAUGCUUUCUUGUUGUUCCGUAAGAAUUUUCUGACCUGCCUUAACUGCUUCUAUUAAACAAAAGCAGAGGACAGAAAUUACAAAAAACAAAACAACAACGAUAAGAGCUACCCACACUGGGUCUACGAGCGAGAAAAACAUAUCCCCCCUUUUAACCGGGAAUCAAUUUGGGAGACUUACCUGUACCGCCAUUCCCCAGCUGAAGAGUUCUGAAUCCACGAGAUCCUCGGGUCCCCAUAGGGGCCACCAAUUUGUUGUGCCCACCUCGGCUGACAAGGAAGACACAACACGGUCGGAUUUUUCUCAACAGCCUUUAUUGCAGGAACGCCUCGAUGCUGCUACAGGGAUCCCGGGUACCCAGGGAGGACUGCUUAUAUACACCCUAGCACAGGAGAAGGCUCCGUGGCCCCCCGGGAUUGGUCAGUCUGCCGGCAUCUAAUUUGCAUGCACCUGCUCCGGAGGGGUCGGCGCCAGAUUCGGGCUAGCUAGCGCCUAUGCAGUGGUGUUGUUUACCACAAAGGCACACCGGAAACCAGUGCCAUCUUAGAGUUGGCUUCCUACGAUGGGGUGGGUAGGAGUAGUUAGCAUGACUCUAGGCACCCUUAGUACAGCCAGGUUUGUGACACAUACUACAUAAGGCAUCCUCUCCAGCAGUUCUCAUUUUUGCCACUCCCUCGUGGUCAGUGUCUCUAAGCUCUGUUGGGCCCAGUGCUCCCCUGGCCUUCCCAGAUAAAGAAGGAGAUACCUCUCCAGAUAGAAUGCACUGUGGUCUCCCACGUCCUCCGAGGACACUGGCUGCAUCGCCUGUGCUCUAGCCAUGCCCAUCUUCCCUUUCCCCACAGAAGGUGCUGAGGAGGCACAGGCCCUGGGCUUGGGGGCCGCCCUGAGAGAACCUGGGCCUACUUGUUGCCUUGCUCUUGUGGGCUUCUGUGUUGGUGGCCCUUGGGACAGGGAAACUGCUUCACAUAGUAUCUUGGUCUGAGGAGACAGCAGAAGGAGGGGAACUUAGGUGAAAUGACUGUGGUCCGAGGAGUUGUAGGUGAUCUGAGUGUUGAUUUCUGUCGCAUCUUUGUGGAUAUUGUCUGCAGGAAGGUGCAUGGGUGCUUAUUGUCUGUUCCUGAGUCCUGCUAUGAAAUGGCUACCCAGAAAACACCAGAGAAAUUAACUUCCAUUCCCUUUAAUCUUAGAUCACACAUUCUAGGGGCCCAAAUGUAACAAAAUUCAUGGCAAAUCAGGGGGCAUGCUCAUCCUAAAAGGGGCCAUUGAUCUGUUCCAAUAAGUUGUUACGAUUUAAGAGGCUAAUGCCACAGACUCCUGAAGUUUUAAAGGGGAAAAAGACAAGGUUUGUGUGUGAAAUAUCCUGGUUUAAAACAUCCAGAUAAAUAAAUCAUACAUUUAUUGGGGGGCUAAAGAGAUGGCUCAGCCGUUAAAAGCACUGUCUGCCCUUCCAGAGGACCUGGAUUCAAUUCCCAGCACCCACAAGGCAACUCACAACCAUCUACAAUUAAUUUUUUUCUAGUGAUGAAACUAUUUUCAAAGCUCUGGCUUUGUUAUUUUAAUUAUGUGUAUUAUUGUGUCUGCAUGUAACUAUGUGAAGGUGAGUGCCAGCGCCCAUGGAGACCAGGCAUUGAAUCUCUUGGAGCUGGGAUUACAGGCAGUUGUGAGCUGCCUGCCCGAUGUGGGUGCUGGGAACCAAGCUCCACUCCUGGAAGGGCAGCCAGCACUCUUAACCAUCGAGCCAUCUCUCUAGCUCCCCAUAAAAAUAAAC